GAUGAACGCUGGCGGCGUGCUUAACACAUGCAAGUCGAACGAAGCAGUACUGUGUGAAGAGAUUAGCUUGCUAAGCUUGGAACUUUGUAUUGACUGAGUGGCGGACGGGUGAGUAACGCGUGGGCAACCUGCCUUACACAGGGGGAUAACAGCUAGAAAUGGCUGCUAAUACCGCAUAAGACCUCAGUACCGCAUGGUAGAGGGGUAAAAACUCCGGUGGUGUAAGAUGGGCCCGCGUCUGAUUAGGUAGUUGGUAGGGUAACGGCCUACCAAGCCGACGAUCAGUAGCCGACCUGAGAGGGUGACCGGCCACAUUGGGACUGAGACACGGCCCAAACUCCUACGGGAGGCAGCAGUGGGGAAUAUUGCACAAUGGGGGAAACCCUGAUGCAGCGACGCCGCGUGAAGGAUGAAGUAUUUCGGUAUGUAAACUUCUAUCAGCAGGGAAGAAGAUGACGGUACCUGACUAAGAAGCCCCGGCUAACUACGUGCCAGCAGCCGCGGUAAUACGUAGGGGGCAAGCGUUAUCCGGAUUUACUGGGUGUAAAGGGAGCGUAGACGGCAUGGCAAGUCUGAAGUGAAAGCCCGGGGCUCAACCCCGGGACUGCUUUGGAAACUGUCAGGCUAGAGUGUCGGAGAGGCAAGUGGAAUUCCUAGUGUAGCGGUGAAAUGCGUAGAUAUUAGGAGGAACACCAGUGGCGAAGGCGGCUUGCUGGACGAUGACUGA
rnacentral:rRNA from 1 species